GACGUAGGGCGCGAGCGUUGUCCGGAUUUAUUGGGCGUAAAGAGCUCGUAGGCGGCUUGUCGCGUCGUCCGUGAAAACCUGCAGCUCAACUGCAGGCUUGCGGUCGAUACGGGCAGGCUAGAGUUCGGUGGGGGAGACUGGAAUUCCUGGUGUAGCGGUGAAAUGCGCAGAUAUCAGGAAGAACACCCGUGGCGAAAGCGGCUCUCUGGAACGGUACUGACGCUGAGACGCGAAAGCGUGGGGAGCGAACAGG
rnacentral:rRNA from 1 species